CCAGUAAAGCCUUUUGGAAGAAGAGCCUAAUACCUUGCUUGCAGGGCUCCCAGCAGGAGCCUCUCACCAACCCUGCAAACUGAGUAUGAACAACUUGAUGAGGACUUCAGAAAAAGCACAACAGCUCAUACGUAAACGAUCUUCGUGCCUGGUGCUCUAUGGGCCACUCGAAAUGAUCACCAGAGACACUCAAGUUACAAACCAAGAAACUCCACUAGAUUGCCACUGCCUGCCCUCACUUUAUGUAAAGAUGCUUUCAGCGUGACAACUAGAAACCCUCUGGACUGGCUAUAUUCAGGACUCAGAAACUGGUUUUACAACUUGAUCCAAUCACUGGUCAUUAUUUUUCUUUUAAUUUCCAGAGAAAGGCCUUAUUUAUUACCUGGAUAAUUGAACCACAGGCCUAACUGUGAGAACACACUUGUAUCACCGCCUCCCGAAGUGAGUUUAACUAAAACGACCUAUCCUCAGAACUAAGACACUGGUUCAAGCAGACGGGACAAUUUAUCAGCUCAACUUUUAAAGCAAGAAAACUUCCAGGGAAGUUUCAGAAAAGGGAACCGUAGAGGCCAAGGGUAGGCCACCCCAAAAGGUGCCACUCUGGCAUACAAAUUAAAUAAAAAUUACUUAAGAAACAGCGGUUCAGAGACUCCUCUGUCACCCAGAAAGCCGGAAACACAUCUUCCAUGUGCAAAAUACCCUCCCUGUACUAAGGAAGUAAAAGGACAUCCUUGUCGCCAGAGAUAGGGACUUCAAAACAGAGAAAGCUUCAGAAACGAACCUGGUUACUUUUUUUCUAACCCUACCAACUCAGCCUAAAUUCUGUUUAGGAUUCCCUCCUAACUGAAGUUUCCAAACACCUGCUUUCUUUAUCCUGUCGAUUCCUCAUAAAUGUAUUGUCUCUGUGUCUCAAAAGAAGAAAAAAAUCCCUGCCUUGGUCAUUUCUUCAGGUCUCAAUACCAGCCACUGUGCACACAUCCUUGAUUUUUUUGUUUUUUGAUUUUUCCUCCUGUGAACCUGUUUUGUGUAAAUUUAAUUCUUUGGCUGGCUGAAAGACCUUGAAGGUAGAGGAAGAACUGUUCCUUCCCUACAAUCUCAAUGAGGUAGGCAGGACGAUGAUAAAAGAUAAAUACAA